AUUGAACGCUGGCGGCAGGCUUAACACAUGCAAGUCGAGCGGGGUGAUGGUGCUUGCACUAUCACCUAGCGGCGGACGGGUGAGUAAUGCUUAGGAAUCUGCCUAUUAGUGGGGGACAACAUCUCGAAAGGGAUGCUAAUACCGCAUACGUCCUACGGGAGAAAGCAGGGGAUCACUUGUGACCUUGCGCUAAUAGACGAGCCUAAGUCGGAUUAGCUAGUUGGUGGGGUAAAGGCCUACCAAGGCGACGAUCUGUAGCGGGUCUGAGAGGAUGAUCCGCCACACUGGGACUGAGACACGGCCCAGACUCCUACGGGAGGCAGCAGUGGGGAAUAUUGGACAAUGGGGGGAACCCUGAUCCAGCCAUGCCGCGUGUGUGAAGAAGGCCUUAUGGUUGUAAAGCACUUUAAGCGAGGAGGAGGCUCUUUUGGUUAAUACCCAAGAUGAGUGGACGUUACUCGCAGAAUAAGCACCGGCUAACUCUGUGCCAGCCGCCGCGGUAA
rnacentral:rRNA from 1 species